rnacentral:rRNA from 1 species
AACGAACGCUGGCGGCGCGUCUUAAGCAUGCAAGUCGAACGGCAAGAGAGGAGCUUGCUUCUCUCCUAGAGUGGCGGACUGGUGAGGAACACGUGGGUAAUCUACCCUUAAGAUGGGGAUAGCUGCUAGAAAUAGCAGGUAAUACUGAAUACACUCGGCAUAUCACAAGAGGUGUUGAGGAAAGGAAGCUACGGCUUCGCUUGAGGAUGAGCUUGCGUCCCAUUAGCUAGUUGGUGAGGUAAAGGCCCACCAAGGCGACGAUGGGUAUCCGGCCUGAGAGGGUGAACGGACACAUUGGGACUGAGAUACGGCCCAAACUCCUACGGGAGGCAGCAGCUAAGAAUAUUCCGCAAUGGACGGAAGUCUGACGGAGCGACGCCGCGUGGAUGAAGAAGGCUGAAAAGUUGUAAAAUCCUUUUGUUGAUGAAGAAUAAGGGUGAGAGGGAAUGCUCAUCUGAUGACGGUAAUCGACGAAUAAGCCCCGGCUAAUUACGUG